CCUACGGGAGGCAGCAGUGGGGAAUUUUCCGCAAUGGGCGAAAGCCUGACGGAGCAACGCCGCGUGAGGGAUGAAGGCCUCUGGGCUGUAAACCUCUUUUAUCAAGGAAGAAGAUCUGACGGUACUUGAUGAAUAAGCCACGGCUAAUUCCGUGCCAGCAGCCGCGGUAAUACGGGAGUGGCAAGCGUUAUCCGGAAUUAUUGGGCGUAAAGCGUCCGCAGGCGGUCUUGUAAGUCUGUCGUUAAAGCGUGGAGCUCAACUCCAUUUCGGCGGUGGAAACUACAAGACUAGAGUGUGGUAGGGGCAGAGGGAAUUCCCGGUGUAGCGGUGAAAUGCGUAGAUAUCGGGAAGAACACCAGUGGCGAAGGCGCUCUGCUGGGCCAUAACUGACGCUCAUGGACGAAAGCUAGGGGAGCGAAAGGGAUUAGAUACCCCUGUAGUCCUAGCCGUAAACGAUGAACACUAGGUGUCGGGGGAAUCGACCCCUCGGUGUCGUAGCUAACGCGUUAAGUGUUCCGCCUGGGGAGUACGCACGCAAGUGUGAAACUCAAAGGAAUUGACGG
rnacentral:rRNA from 1 species